rnacentral:rRNA from 1 species
AACGAACGCUGGCGGCAGGCUUAACACAUGCAAGUCGAACGCCCCGCAAGGGGUGUGGCUGACGGGUGAGUAACGCGUGGGAACAUACCCUUUCCUGCGGAAUAGCUCCGGGAAACUGGAAUUAAUACCGCAUACGCACUACGGGGGAAAGAUUUAUCGGGGAAGGAUUGGGCCGCGUUGGAUUAGCGAGUUGGUGGGGUAAAGGCCUACCAAGGCGACGAUCCAUAGCUGGUCUGAGAGGAGGAUCAGCCACAUUGGGACUGAGACACGGCCCAAACUCCUACGGGAGGCAGCGGAGGGGAAUAUUGGGGAAGGGGCGCAAGCCUGAUCCAGCCAUGCCGCGUGAGUGAUGAAGGCCUUAGGGUUGUAAAGCUCUUUCACCGAUGAAGAUAAUGACGGUAGUCGGAGAAGAAGCCCCGGCUAACUUCGUG